rnacentral:rRNA from 1 species
UACGUAGGGUGCGAGCGUUAAUCGGAUUUACUGGGCGUAAAGCGUGCGCAGGCGGCCCGUUAAGACAGGUGUGAAAUCCCUGGGCUCAACCUAGGAAUUGCGCUUGUGACUGGCGGGCUCGAGUACGGUAGAGGGGGGUGGAAUUCCUGGUGUAGCAGUGAAAUGCGUAGAGAUCAGGAGGAACACCGAUGGCGAAGGCAGCCCCCUGGGCCUGUACUGACGCUCAGGCACGAAAGCGUGGGGAGCAAACGGG